GUCCACGCCGUAAACGAUGAGUACUAGGUGUAGGGGGUAUCGACCCCCUCUGUGCCGAAGCUAACGCGAUAAGUACUCCGCCUGGGGACUACGGCCGCAAGGCUAAAACUCAAAGGAAUUGACGGGGGCCCGCACAAGCAGCGGAGCGUGUGGUUUAAUUCGAUGAUACGCGAAGAACCUCACCCAGGUUUGACAUGCACGUUUACCGAUUCGAAAGAUGAGGGACCCUUCGGGGAGCGUGCACAGGUGUUGCACGGCCGUCGU
rnacentral:rRNA from 1 species